UACAGAGGGUGCAAGCGUUGUUCGGAAUUAUUGGGCGUAAAGGGCUCGUAGGCGGUUUGUCGCGUCGGGAGUGAAAACCCAGGGCUUAACUCUGGGCUUGCUUUCGAUACGGGCAGGCUAGAGUGUGGUAGGGGAGAUCGGAAUUCCUGGUGUAGCGGUGAAAUGCGCAGAUAUCAGGAGGAACACCAGUGGCGAAGGCGGAUCUCUGGGCCAUUACUGACGCUGAGGAGCGAAAGCGUGGGGAGCGAACAGG
rnacentral:rRNA from 1 species